rnacentral:rRNA from 1 species
UACGGAGGGUGCAAGCGUUGCUCGGAAUUACUGGGCGUAAAGCGUACGCAGGCUGCUUGCCAAGUCGGGUGUGAAAUCCCGGGGCUCAACCCCGGAAUUGCGCCCGAAACUGGCGGGCUUGAGUGCGGGAGAGGGAAGCGGAAUUCCUGGUGUAGAGGUGAAAUUCGUAGAUAUCAGGAGGAACACCGGUGGCGAAAGCGGCUUCCUGGCCCGACACUGACGCUCAUGUACGAAAGCGUGGGGAGCAAACAGG